rnacentral:rRNA from 1 species
CCUACGGGUUGCAGCAGUGGGGAAUAUUGCACAAUGGGCGCAAGCCUGAUGCAGCCAUGCCGCGUGUAUGAAGAAGGCCUUCGGGUUGUAAAGUACUUUCAGCGGGGAGGACGGGAGUAAAGUUAAUACCUUUGCUCAUUGACGUUACCCGCAGAAGAAGCACCGGCUAACUCCGUGCCAGCAGCCGCGGUAAUACGGAGGGUGCAAGCGUUAAUCGGAAUUACUGGGCGUAAAGCGCACGCAGGCGGUUUGUUAAGUCAGAUGUGAAAUCCCCGGGCUCAACCUGGGAACUGCAUCUGAUACUGGCAAGCUUGAGUCUCGUAGAGGGGGGUAGAAUUUCAGGUGUAGCGGUGAAAUGCGUAGAGAUCUGAAGGAAUACCGGUGGCGAAGGCGGCCCCCUGGACAAAGACUGACGCUCAGAUGCGAAAGCGUGGGGAGCAAACAGGAUUAGAUACCCCGGUAGUC